CUCAAAAAAUUGCGCGCUCUCUCGGUCGCUCAGUCAUUUGUCGACAAUGUCAGACAGGCCAAUUGGCGCCGAUGCUGCGCCGUCAAACUCCGACGACUUUCCCCAAAUGUCCAGGGCUGAACUCUACGACAUCAUGUAUAAGAUGAAGAUUCUGACAGAUGAGAAGCCGCAACAAGCGCGGCAGAUUCUUACUGAUAACCCGCAAUUGACCCGAUUUCUCUUUCAGGCACAAAUAAUGCUUGGAAUGAUGGGGUCCCCUCGUGAGACUCCAACCACCCAGCUACCAACACUGCAGCAUCCUCAGCAAGCACAGACAGCUCAGGCAGCUCUUCCAUUGUCAGGUGAAGCUUCUUUACAGGAACAAACAAGUGGAUCUCAAACCCAAGUUCCUGUAAUGAAACAAAUGGAAAUCCAACCUGCAAUGCAAGCAUCUGCUUCUAUUCCUACCACCAACCCUCAGUCACAAUCUAUGCCCUUGCAUCCGCUACAGACAGUGCAGCAGCCUAAGGGACAUCUGAAUAUCCAAAUGGCUCCCUCUCAAGUUCUUAAUACACCUCCACUUCCUACUAGUUCUGCUUCACAGCCGCCCUUAGUUCGACCCCAGAUGCCCACAGCCUCCAACCAGUUUCAACAACCAUUACAAGCACCUAUCAUUCCACAUAUGCCUCUGCAACCACCAUUGCCUCCGCAUCCUAGACUUCCUUUGCCGCCAAGUUUCCAACAUCAGCACCCUUCACAAAUGGGCUCCAAUAUGGCUUUCCAGCAAUCUGGCAGUCAGCUGCAUCAUUCUCAGCCUGUGUUUCAUUCAGGUAGCAAGCCUAAUGCUGGUAUUGGGCCUUCAUUUACACAGGCACAGCCACAGAUUCCAAAUCAGCCACCAUCUCAAUCUUUUAAUCAGAUUAAGUCUGUUAAGAUUGUGCUGGUAUGUUAUGCUUCACAAUCUUCAGGCUUGGCCAAUGUUUGUUCUUUACAGAUGGGAGGUUCACAUUUAAGGACAGAGUUCAGCAAUGCUGCUGGAAGCUCCAUGCAAGUGGACAGGGGAUCUUCUUCUUGGAUGCCGCCUCGGCAUGAGAAUACUAUGGGAACACAGCUUCCAGGGCCACCACCAUUAGUUCCUGGUCAGAUGGGCUCGACCAAUCCAUCUCCCCGUCCCCAACUGUUAAAUCCUGAGAUGGAGAAGGCUCUGCUACAGCAGGUCAUGAGCCUUACUCCAGAACAGAUCAAUCGGCUGCCUCCAGAGCAAAGGCAUCAAAUUCUACAAUUGCAGCAGAUGCUGCGGCAAUGAAAUAGCAAAAGUCAGGUCUUUCCCUGCUCAUGGGAUUCCGACAUAAAACUAUGUUGAAGGACUUCUGUUCGACUCCUUUUGCGUUUGACUGAAAACCUAUUAUUGAGAGUUUAACUGCAUUGAUCCCCCGAUGUUGAAGAACGAGCUUUGUGACACCUCCAACGUCCAAACCCUAUACGAUCAAAUGACGCGCUUUCACUUUCUUAUUGUUGCCUCUAUUCUUUCGUCCCUAUUUUCUUAUCCUCCAAACAAUCCUCAUCUCAUGAACGAUACAUGGACACUGAUCCGAAGCGCCAUGGAUUCUUUUUCACCUGAUAUUCAUUCAUUUUGUAUACGUGAGAUUCAUUUCCUCG